GAUGAACGCUGGCGGCGUGCCUAAUACAUGCAAGUCGAGCGAACAGAUGAGGAGCUUGCUCCUCUGACGUUAGCGGCGGACGGGUGAGUAACACGUGGAUAACCUACCUAUAAGACUGGGAUAAUUUCGGGAAGCCGGAGCUAAUACCGGAUAAUAUAUUGAACCGCAUGGUUCAAUAGUGAAAGACGGUUUUGCUGUCACUUAUAGAUGGAUCCGCGCCGCAUUAGCUAGUUGGUAAGGUAACGGCUUACCAAGGCAACGAUGCGUAGCCGACCUGAGAGGGUGAUCGGCCACACUGGAACUGAGACACGGUCCAGACUCCUACGGGAGGCAGCAGUAGGGAAUCUUCCGCAAUGGGCGAAAGCCUGACGGAGCAACGCCGCGUGAGUGAUGAAGGUCUUCGGAUCGUAAAACUCUGUUAUUAGGGAAGAACAAAUGUGUAAGUAACUAUGCACGUCUUGACGGUACCUAAUCAGAAAGCCACGGCUAACUACGUG
rnacentral:rRNA from 1 species